AGUGAACGCUGGCGGUAUGCCUAACACAUGCAAGUCGAACGGCAGCACAGUAAGAUCUUGCUAUUACUGGUGGCGAGUCGCGUACGUGAGAGGAAUACAACCUACUCUUCUUUUUCGUGUGGGAUCACGUAGGGAAACUUACGCUAAUACCGCAUACGACCUACGGGUGAAAGCAGUUGAUCUUCGGACCUUGCGCGCUUCUAUCAGCCGAUGUCGGAUUAGCUAGUUGGCGGGGUAAAGGCCCACCAAGGCGACGAUCCGUAGCUGGUCUGAGAGGAUGAUCAGCCACACUGGAACUGAGACACGGUCCAGACUCCUACGGGAGGCAGCAGUGGGGAAUAUUCGACAAUGGGGGAAAGCCUGAUCCAGCCAUACCGCGUGGGUGAAGAAGGCCUUCGGGUUGUAAAGCCCUUUUGUUGGGAAAGAAAAGCAGCAGGUUAAUACCCCGCUGUUCUGACGGUACCCAAAGAAUAAGCAACGGCUAACUUCGUG
rnacentral:rRNA from 1 species